rnacentral:rRNA from 1 species
AUUGAACGCUGGCGGCAUGCUUUACACAUGCAAGUCGAACGGCAGCGCGGGCUUCGGCCUGGCGGCGAGUGGCGAACGGGUGAGUAAUACAUCGGAACGUGCCCAGUAGUGGGGGAUAGCUCGGCGAAAGCCGGAUUAAUACCGCAUACGACCUGAGGGUGAAAGCGGGGGAUCUUCGGACCUCGCGCUAUUGGAGCGGCCGAUGGCAGAUUAGCUAGUUGGUGGUGUAAAGGCCUACCAAGGCGACGAUCUGUAGCUGGUCUGAGAGGACGACCAGCCACACUGGGACUGAGACACGGCCCAGACUCCUACGGGAGGCAGCAGUGGGGAAUUUUGGACAAUGGGCGAAAGCCUGAUCCAGCAAUGCCGCGUGUGUGAUGAAGGCCUUCGGGUUGUAAAGCACUUUUGGCGGGAACGAAAAGGACUGUGCCAAUACCACGGUUCGAUGACGGUACCCGCAGAAUAAGCACCGGCUAACUACGU